AUGAUGCUAAAGACAUGGUAUUUUUUCCAGCUGUGUUGCCUGUCCUUGAGGCUUGAGGCUAAUUCUGGUCUUAAAGUGAGGAUUACUCAGAAGGGACUGAACUAUGGCAGGAGGGUUGGGAUGGAGCUCCUGAAACUAGCAGUAUUGAAAGAGACUUUCCCAAGCAGGAGUAGGCAGGAGAAUUUCUCAGUUGUUAAGGUCAACUAUGUCAUUUCAAGGCUCGGAAUUACUGCUGUAGAUUUCCCAGAAACUUCUGCUUCCUUUAUUCCUGGCACUAGCAUUUAUCUGCCAGUGGCACAGGCUUCUGCUGCAAUCAGUGCAGACUGGAGAAUACACACAUGGCUACUCUAA
rnacentral:lncRNA from 1 species